rnacentral:rRNA from 1 species
GCGAAACGGAAAGAGCCCAAACCAAGAAGCUUGCUUCUUGGGGUUGUAGGACACUCUAUACGGAGUUACAAAAGAAAGUUAUAAAUGAAGCGGUCUGGAAAGGCCCGCCAAAGACGGUAACAGCCCGGUAGUUGAAAUGGCUUUCCCUCCAGAGUGGAUCCUGAGUACGGCGGAACACGUGAAAUUCCGUCGGAAUCCGGGAGGACCAUCUCCCAAGGCUAAAUACUCCCUAGUGACCGAUAGUGAACCAGUACCGUGAGGGAAAGGUGAAAAGCAC